rnacentral:rRNA from 1 species
AACGAACGCUGGCGGCAGGCUUAACACAUGCAAGUCGAGCGCCCCGCAAGGGGAGCGGCCGACGGGUGAGUACCGCGUGGGAACGUACCUUUUGGUUCGGAACAACUCCGGGAAACUGGAGCUAAUACCGGAUAAGCCCUAACGGGGAAAGAUUUAUCGCCGAAAGAUCGGCCCGCGUCUGAUUAGCUAGUUGGUGAGGUAACGGCUCACCAAGGCGACGAUCAGUAGCUGGUCUGAGAGGAUGAUCAGCCACACUGGGACUGAGACACGGCCCAGACUCCUACGGGAGGCAGCAGUGGGGAAUAUUGGACAAUGGGCGCAAGCCUGAUCCAGCCAGGCCGCGUGAGUGAUGAAGGCCUUAGGGUUGUAAAGCUCUUUUGUCCGGGAAGAUAAUGACUGUACCGGAAGAAUAAGCCCCGGCUAACUUCGU